rnacentral:rRNA from 1 species
GACGAACGCUGGCGGCGUGCCUAAUACAUGCAAGUAGAACGCACAGUUUAUACCGUAGCUUGCUACACCAUAGACUGUGAGUUGCGAACGGGUGAGUAACGCGUAGGUAACCUGCCUGGUAGCGGGGGAUAACUAUUGGAAACGAUAGCUAAUACCGCAUAAUAUUGAUUAUUGCAUGAUAAUUGAUUGAAAGAUGCUAUUGCAUCACUACCAGAUGGACCUGCGUUGUAUUAGCUAGUAGGUGAGGUAACGGCUCACCUAGGCGACGAUACAUAGCCGACCGUGGAGGGGGAUCGGCCACACCGGGACUGGGACAAGGCCCAGACUCCUACGGGAGGCAGCAGUAGGGAAUCUUCGGCAAUGGACGAAAGGCUGACCGAGCAACGCCGCGUGAGUGAAGAAGGUUUUCGGAUCGUAAAGCUCUGUUGUAAGAGAAGGACGGGUGUGAGAGUGGAAAGUUCACACUGUGACGGUAUCUUACCAGAAAGGGACGGCUAACUACGUG